AUCUUGUAGAUUCACACUUUGUUAAAUGUAAAGCCACAGGAAAUGUGUUUUUAGAAGUAUGUGAUGAAAGCAUCCAAGCAGCAGUGACUGCGCCACUGACAAGAACAAACUCAGACAGCAGGUUUCACUCUUCAUAAUUUGGGAAAGAGUUACGGAACUGCAAAGAAAUGGAAAAUGAGCAUGAAGUUUUUGUAGGUUAUUUAUGGUUUCGUUACUUCCUGUUCUCCAUCUGGAUUUUGGACGUUGUACUGAUUUGGAUUAUAACGUACCUGGAAAUGAACUUGAUCAGGAAAAUCAGAAACGUGUGUCGCAUCUCUAGAUGCCGCUGUCACAAACUUCAUUUCCCAGAAUCCAGACUUUAAUGACCUACAAACUCCACCACCAUGACAUGUUCUAAUGAAAGUCUAUGAAAUUUAUGAAAACAUAAAUUUAUGUUUAUUGGCUUGCUUCUCUUGUUUGAUCACUGUUUGUUUCAUUUCUUUGAUUAUUAUUCUGUCUAUCUGUUGUUUCAUUGCUGAACUCCUGAUUACAUUAUUGAAUUUUCCUUUUUGUUUUGUCUGCUGUUGGUCUUUUAAUAAA